rnacentral:rRNA from 1 species
GUUUUCAGCAAUUAACGCAAAAGCUUAGUAUUGAAAAUGAUGCCUGCCCAAUGAUUGUAUCUGAAAGGAAAGAAAGGGGGGUGGCGCGCAGCANAAAGCCCCCCCUAAAAGUAUUUGGCUUUCUAUAAGGACAAUUGAAUGGCCGCGGUAACUCUGACCGUGAUAAUGUAGCGAAAUCACUAGCCAGUUAAUUGCUGGCCUGUAUGAAUGGCUUAACGAGGGCUCCACUGUCUCAAUAAUAAACCGGGUGAAAUUGGAAAAACGGUAAAGAUACCGUAAAGGAAUUCUAAGACGAGAAGACCCCAUUGAGCUUUACUAUUAACUUGUAUUGCCAAAGCAAAUAAAAGGGAACUCUCCCUUGCUUUAUAAUAAAAUUGAGUAGACUAAGUGGGAAAAAAGGGAUGUUAGUCCCCUUUUUAUGGCCGAUUCAUUGGAUUGGGCCCCCAAAAGAUACCUUUUGGGGCCAUUGGCGUANAGAGGGGGGAUCCGAUUUUCGGAUCGGCGCCGAAGGCGCCCAACCCUACUCGAUUUUUAUGAAAAACCACUCUUUUUAUUAGGAUUACUGGCUAAAACCGUACAAGUAAGGUAGUUUGGUUGGGGCGACCGCCUUCGAAAAAGUAUCGAAGGCGUACAUAAGAUUAAUCCGGGGGGGGUGUCCUUUUUUCACCCCCAAACAAACCGGGGGUAAUGCCCCAAAAAAGAUUAGUUUGACUGAGAGGGCUACAACCCGAACAGGCGCUUUUAGGUUGGGGCCCGGUUUUUACCAAGGGGCCUAAUUGACCAGCGGGCUCCUUUUUAGCCCGGGUCGAACCUAGCGGGUCAUAGUGAUCCGUUGUUAUAUUGUGGGAUAGACAACGAUCAACGAAGAAAAGUUACCAUGGGGAUAACAGCGUAAUAUCGUUUUAGAGUACCUAUCGCUGACGAUGUUUGCGA